rnacentral:rRNA from 1 species
ACUGCCCGAAAGGGUGGCUAAGACCGCAUGAGCUUCAUCUGUCGGAGGGUGGAGGAAAGCCCCGUGAGGGGUGCUAGAGGAGGGGCCCGCGUCCGAUUAGCUAGUUGGGGAGGUAACGGCUUCCCAAGGCGACGAUCGGUAGCUGGUCUCAGAGGAUGAUCAGCCAGACUGGGACUGAGAGACGGCCCAGACUCCUACGGGAGGCAGCAGUUAGGAAUUUUGGGCAAUGGGCGCAAGCCUGACCCAGCAACGCCGCGUGGGUGACGAAGGCCUUCGGGUUGUAAAGCCCUUUUCUGGGGGAAGAUUGUGACGGUACUCCAGGAAGAAGCACCGGCUAACUACGUGCCAGCAGCCGCGGUAAUACGUAGGGUGCGAGCGUUGCCCGGAUUUAUUGGGCGUAAAGGGCGCGCAGGCGGCUCUGUGCGUCGGUUGUGAAAGCUCCCGGCUCAACUGGGAGGGGACGACCGAAACGGCAGGGCUGGAGCAAGGUAGGGGAGAGUGGAAUUCCCGGUGUAGUGGUGGAAUGCGUAGAUAUCGGGAGGAACACCAGUGGCGAAGGCGGCUCUCUGGACCUUUGCUGACGCUGAGGCGCGAAAGCGUGGGGAGCGAUCCGGAUUAGAUACCCGGGUAGUCCACGCCGUAAACGAUGCGGACUAGGUGUCGGGGGUAUCGACCCCCUCGGCGCCGGAGCUAACGCAUUAAGUCCGCCGCCUGGGGACUACGGCCGCAAGGCUAAAACUCAAAGGAAUUGACGGAAUCGA